GGCGGGCGGGGCCCUGUACACCUGCAUGGUGUGUGUCCCGGCCUCAGCCCAGCGCCAGCUGCAGCUCCUUGAUCAGAGCCGGAUCCUGAGCUGGGAACACCGGCUGAAGUGGCGGCGGCGGCGGCGGCCCCGCCCAGGGGCUCCCUUAUUGAGGCUGCGGAGUCUCUGCCGCUGCUCAGCUGCGCUCUAGUCGGCCCAGGCGCUGCAGCGAGGAGCUAGCGCUGGGAGGCGGCGGCCCGAGAAGCACCGUCAUAGAAGCAGAGAUGCAGAGGCAGCACUGGUGACUCACACAUGGAGAGCUGGAAUUCUUGGUCUAGUGGGAUAAACUGACCUGGACAUCAUUUCAGUGCAGCAGAAGCAAGUCUAUCAUCUCUUUUGGAUGGAGUGUGGCCAGCCCUGCCUUGUGAUGUAAGGAAAUCAGGAAACGCUUGUCAGGUGACAACACCGUGCCAGACACUCUUCUAGGGGUUUCCACGUAAAUCACUGUAUUCAUUUCUGUUGCUGCUUUACCACAUUUCCACAUAUUUCAUGGCUUAAAACAAUUGAAAUUGUAUCAUCUCACAGUUCUGUGGGACAGAAGUCUGACGCAGGUGUCACUGGGCAAAAAUCACCGUGUGGUCUGGGCUGCAUUCCUCAUUGGAGAAUUGUUUCCAAGCGCUUUUGGCCAAAUAUAGUUCCUUGUGGUUGCAGGACUGAGUUGUCUGUUCCCUUGCUGGUCAUCUGUUGGGGGCUGCCCUCAGCUCCUGAGGCUUCUAUCUGUUCUUUGCACGUGGUCCCAUCAGCUUAGGACUAGCUAUGCCAGGGACCUGGUCAGGCUCUCCAGUUCCCCUGUGUGCAUUUCUCUUCUUCCACUCGGAGAAAGUUCUAUGUCCUAUUUUA